AUCCGGGAGCUCAUCCCAGCUGCGGACAGAGACUCCCGGGCUCCUCCUCUUCACCAAAAAGACUUUGGGCAUGGUGGGAUCCUCUCUUCCGACUGCGGCCCCCUCCUCCCGCUGCUCCCCGCUAGUGGCGGCGGUGGCGCCUGGGUCCCCCCGCUCCUGGAGUCCGGAGCCCACCUUCCCGCCUAGCCUGCCCUCUUCCUGCACCCCCCGCCGCGUUGCUCGGUACUCUCCCCCUCACUCCAGGUUACUCGCAGCCUCCGGGCUCGGCGACACCUAUGCCUUAAAUCGCGCGUGAGACCACGCCGGGGAAAAAGUUUCAUAAGGUGGAAUAGAAAAGGCACCAGGAAACUUGGGAGUGAGCAUGCGCCCUGCAACAUAACGGUGUCAACAAGCUCGCUACCUGUCCGACCGGUUCCGGCGGCCGGGGCUGCCUGAUCCAGCCCUUCCUUAGGCAUGAAUGUUUGCAAAAGAAUUUAACGUCUGAUUCUUCCCCCCUCCUCUUUUUAAAAAAGGAAGAACAUUUUUCAAAUCAACCCUCUGCUUCAUACCCCUAUCACAUGCACUUUAUAGGAUAAAGUCUUUAAAACAAGCCACAGGUUCUCUGCCCCAUGCAGCCCGACUGGGAGCUGGGGUCUCCCACGAGUUGGCCCCCACCUCCGAAGUUGAUUUGUCUCCAUCAAGCAAGCCAGAUAUUAACUGUGAACCUUGUGGGGCUGUUCUAGGCUUUCUGGAAUCUCGGUGGUCGGAUGGGGGGAGGGUCCGCAGUAUCCUUGUCAGGUAAAGGGAGGGGGGGUUGAGAACUUAAGGCUUCCUUCAUCUAGAACACCCCUCAAUAAAGCCUAAAAACACC
rnacentral:lncRNA from 1 species